CUUGUCUCACUAUCAACUCCCAAAAAGUACUGGCCCGUGGGCCUCAUUUUUGGAUUUGAAAUCCCAAAAGAUUAGAAGAAAUCUAAAACCGUUUCUUUGGCUGAUUUUAAUGAUCCCUGAAGUCCUAUUUGUGCCAAAAAUUAUGCCAAGCAUUUAUUUUUUGCAAGAUACUAGUAGGCUCCUCAUUCGCCUGGCCAAGUUCGUUGCCUUCGUUGAUUCGUUCCGGCCAAACUAGUAUUACUCCUUCCUUGAUUCUUUUCUUCAUGAUUUUUCUUCUUUUAUUUUCCCUGGUUCUUGCAUUUUUAUGUGUUCGAUUUAAUUUUAGUUUAACUAAAAUAAGUUUCUAGUUGCUCACUUACACAAUUGGGGUUAAUAUCCAUUUAAGUUUGUUUUGUUUGAGUUUUUGUUUUGGCCGAAAUUUUAUUUAAGUCCAGUCGUUAAUUUUAUUAAAGGGCUUGAUGAAGCAGUUUCCCUUAUCCCUUAUUCAUAUUAAGUUGUAGGCUUAUUUAGGCUCAUGGUUUGGGCUGGGUUGGAUUAAUAGCCUUGGGUCAACUUUGACCCAUGUUUGGUUUUGGGUUUCAGGGGUAAUAACAAAGGCUUUAAGGAGUAAUUUUUGUAAUUAAUUUAGGGAAUCUAGGUGUAACAACCUUAGGAAACAUCCAGGAAAGGGGCUUGGGACGAUUUUAAAAUUUUUAGAUUUACACUAGGGAUUUCUAAGCUAAAUGAAAACAUGAAAACAUGAAAAGAUGCAAAGUGCAAAAAUCUAAUACCUUAGGCUGCCCUAAUAGCUUGCCUAUAAAGGCACCUUUACUUGACCCUUAAAAGGGAUAUUAAGAGAAAAAUCCCAGAAAAAUACUGAAAUGGCUGACUGUGAUUAUUCUACACUUUUCUAGAAAAAACCUGCUGAAUCAUUACUGAUUUUAGUUUAUGACUCUUGAUUGCUCAGUAAAAUCAGUAAAGAUGAUAAGGUAUUGUAGUUGGGGUUGAAUUGGAUUGAGUUUGGAUCUCUAAAAGUCUAAGUUGAGCUUUACUGUUUGUUGUAUUGUUCGAUCGAAACUGGAUGAGCUUGCUUGGAGAUUUUUUUGGAAAUUCUGUUUAGAAUUUUGCUGGUUUCUGCUUUUCGAGUUCCCUUUUAGUGAGAUUUUUUUAACGCUGUCAAAAUGGUAUUGUUUCUGGGUUGAAUCUGGUGCAAAGUUUAAUGAUUGAUGUGUUGUUGUGGCUAUUUCCACUUCUAAUUAUUGUUUAUGUUUCCUAUUAAACCCUUCAGCUUAUCUUCUUUGUUUGCUACUGUAAUCAGGUAUUCAUCCAACCUCCAAUGGCAUGUAUAAAUGAAAAUGAAAUGAUGCUGAUACAUUAUUCAUAGCAGCCUGUUUUAGAUUACUUGAUCUCGUGUUCAUUAAGUUUUAUUAUGUGUUUAUAUGCUUAUUAAGUUGUCACAAUAAAAGCAUUUGUAAAGUUGUUAAGUUAUGAGCUAAUAAGGGACUAUUGUUAUAUGAAUUCGACCUUUCCUUCAGUACUGUUGAUUACAAUGUGGAUAUGGUAUUCAGAACUGGAGCAUGAUAUUUUGUUAAUAAGCUUGUGGUUGUCUAUUUUGAUUUUAAUGUCGUGUUAGGCUCUUAAACAUACUUGGCAUGUGGUAUCAUAGAUUGAAUGGCUUAGCAUUCUGCUUAAUUGACUAGGGGUGUCUUUCAAAUUGAUGGUGCUGAUUUCUGAUUAAAUCUGUUAGAAGUUGGUUGCAGCAUGUUAAAAGAAUGCCAUAUAUUCCUUCAUUGAAGUGUUAAUCGAAUCAAUUGUUACUGCUAGUUUUCUUUCACAUAGGAAAUCUGAUUUUUAAAGUAUGCAAAAGAAAAUUGGAAGUUUCGCUUAGUUAAGUUGGAUCGAUUAGUAAAAAUUAUUAGGGUUAUUUGAUUAGUCCCAUUUCUUGUUUGUUUGAUACAUGUUGUUGAUCGAUUUGCUCCUCUUGACUUGGCACAAUUUUCUUCCUGAAUUUGGACCUAGCGUUGGCAUGAUAACAAACAUUUGGUCUGGUGGAUUUGAAGUCACUUUUCGGGACUUAGGCCAUCUCUCUCCAUUGAGAAUUGGGCUCAUUGGGUCUAAGCUUGAAAGCAGCUGGAAACUUAAUUUUGAGUUAGCUAGCCCUUUAAUUCAAUGUUCGCUAAAUUAGUUAGUAGGAUUGAGAUCUUAUUUAAAUAAGUAGAAAUUCCAUAAUUCUUUUUUUUAGUUAAUUAAUUGACCUUUAAAAUUAGAUUGGAGGUGUGUUAUAUGAGAUAACACAAAUAGCUUAUGACCUCCAAGUUAAUUUGAAUUCUCUUUAAAAUUAGAAAUCGAGGUGCGUCGUGCCCAAUAAAAUCUCAAAAAUGCAUGACCC
rnacentral:lncRNA from 1 species